rnacentral:lncRNA from 1 species
GCUGGCUGAUGAGUAUGUGCUUGUUCAUAAGGGCUGGCCUUGUGAGCCUGUAAGGGAGCCUGUGUCAUGACUGUAAAUCUGUUUGUUGUGUUGUCUGGUUUUGUCUUGUGGGUUCUUGUAUUUGUUUUCCAUGUCUUUGUAUCUUGUCUUGUGUCUUUUGUUUUUCCAUGCCCUCAUGUGUCCUUUAAGUUCUCCUGUGUCUUUUCCUAUGUUCCCUCUGGCUCCCUCUGUCUAUUGUUUUGUUCCCCUCAUGUCCUCGUGUGCUCCUCCCCUUCGUUACCUCACCUGUUGGUCCACCUCACCUGUUCCUCGUCUCGUCAUCAGUGUCUGUGUACUUAGUCUGUGUGUUUCCCUUCACUCCCUGUCUGGUCAUAGUUCUUGUCAGCGUCUGUCUCGUCCAAGUUCCUGCUCCUGCCUGUCCCUUGUUCCCCCGUCUCUGUGCCCCAAUCAAAGGCUGAUCAGGUGGUCGCUGUUCCUGCAGUCUUGUAAUCUGGACAUCCGACACAUUAAAGGCCGUGAUAAUGUGGUUGCAGAUGCACUGUCUCGGGCUCCAGUGAUGGCGUAGGAACCUGUUCACCUUCUGUUCUUCCUUCCCCUCUGUAUUAAUUAAAAUUGGCCCUUAUAGGUUGGGAUGUUGCUGUUUUGGGGAAUGGAUGUUGGAACUGGCAGAUUGUAAGUAUGCUGUAAUUAUUGUAGUAUUUGAUUAUGUAGUUCUCACUUUGGUAUCAUGUUUUAUGUAUUAUGUUGUGACGGAGAUCCUGUGAGGACCCCCGUCUUAUGGGCUCUCUCCCCCUCUGACAUCAGCAGGGUCGUCAGAGGGAUUGGCACCCCCUGGGCUGUGACAGUCUGGGUGCUUGUAACUCUCUCCUGGAGCUCUGUAGCAGGCUUGCUCUCCUCCCAGAGACACUUUGUUCAGCUUUUGUUUUGCAUUUGGGUUUCUGUACAUCCUUCUUACAACAUUACACACACACUUCUCCACUCAUGCAUUCACCUACACCACUGAUUCCACUGACUACACACGCCAUGAUUAGUUUAGGUUACUUUUAAAGUUACUUUUUCUUCAAUAAAUAAUUAGUUAAUUGUCUCACGUGUGCAUCUCCUUGCUUUGUCAUGGCCGUGCGGCCCGGUUUGUGACACAUUAUAUUU